rnacentral:lncRNA from 1 species
CUGCGGGCCCUGGUCCCUGGUCCGGUGCGCGGACUUGCAGCAGGCUCGGCUCCCGUCCCCAGCUGUGCAGCCGGGCUGACGACCGACCCGGAGCCUCCCCUCUGAGACCCCCACCCAACCAGCGCACCCUCUGCCCCGUCCUUUCUCCCUGCAGUCCUUCGGGACGACCCCGCAGGGCCGGGUAAUGAGGCCCGCACACCCCUCCGCGCGACCUGUCCCCAAAGGGCUAUCAUCUGGGCAGGGCAGGGACUCCAGCCUGUGAUCCCUCCGCAUGGCCCAGGAUCGGGCCCACCUUGCCUGCGGGGGGCUCCAGGACAGAUGAGGGGAGGGCGCUGCCGGCGCACACCGGGGCCACAAGCUCCAGUCCCACCCCGCGGCCGCCAAGUCCCCCGAACCCGACCAGCCCGGACCCGGGACCUGUCGCGGGCCUCUUGGGAGGACCUCCUCCAGUUCUGGGCAGCGGGUAAGUCCCUCACUCCAGACUCGGGCCUCUCCCGGGGACCCCCUGGCUCAGGACCCGGGUGUGUCCCCGCCCCCUGACCCCACCUUGGGCCCCUCCCGCACCGCCCCCACUCCCGGCAGCACCCUCGCCCCAGGCCCCACUGCACCUCGUGCUUUCCUGUGGCGCCCCCGUGUGGCCUCUUUGCCGCAUGGCAGCCUGCUCGGCGGUCGCAGGAUGGACCUCUGGUCACUGAUGUUGUGAAGGUGCUUCUGGGUUUACUCGGUUGAUUUCCUUAAAACCAAACAAGCUUGUACGCACCCUCAGUAUCACUAUUAGUUUUCAUUAUACUAAUAAUUAAUAUUAAUUAGAUUUCACUAAUGAAAACGAGAGCUCCUGAGGCAGGCACACGGAUUCUGGCAGAGCUUACUCAGUAUUUCAGCUGUUUUGAAUACUGCACAUACCUACCUCACAAUGGGAGUUGAGGCAGAGGGCAGUAACAAGCCACUGCAGGCCUGGGACUCAAGUUCUGUAGGCAUCUGAGCCUCCACCCCAGUCCCCACUGGAGCCUUCACAGGAGCUUAAAUAUGGUGCAGCAAUAAUCACACUGGGUGACCAAACUGAUAUAGAGACAUCAGCAGCCAUAGGCCUAGAACGGAAGACACUCACAAUGAGAACAACCUUCUGGGCAAAUGAGUUUCCUAGAGACGGGGCUCCCUGCCACCAGGCCCCUGGCACUUGUGAGAGCAGAUGCACUUCCACUGGAAGGGUCUGGUGCACUUCCACUGGAAGGGUCUGGUGCACUUCCCAUCACGCUGUGGCGGACAGAGGGAAUGUGGUUUUAUGCACCUGUGUGAGGGUUGACUCACCUGCAGAGGUCUGUAACUUCUCACUGCAGGGCUGGUGUAGGGCCAGGUUUGUCAUACAGGUGGACGGGCAGGUCUUGGACUGGGGUGAGGCCAUGGAAGUCCCUAGAAGGAUCAUAGUGGGUUGAGCUUUGGUCUUGAGUGGCCUCAGGUAGCUGGUGGCCCUGACAGAAAAGAGGACAAACCCACCCUGGACUCUCAUGAGAGGUCCUGGCUGGAGGGGAGGCUGGGGAUUCCGUCUCUUCUUUGUUCUACUUUUAUUGUACUGAGGAUUGAACAGGGGCACUUAACCACUAUGCUACAGCCCCAGCUGUUUUAAACUUUGUUUUUCAGUACUGAGGAUUGAACCCAGGGCAUUGCAAAUGCUAGUCAAGCACUCUACACUCCCAGUAAUUUUUUUUUGAGAGAGAGAAGAGAGAGAGAGAGAGAGAGAGAGAGAGAGAGAGAGAGGGAGGAAAGAGAGAAGAGAGGAGAGAGAGAGUUCUUUUUUAAUAUUUAUUUUUCAGGUUUCGGUGGACACAACAUCUUUAUUUUAUUUUUUUUAAUGUGGUGCUGAGGAUCGAACCCAGCGUCCCGCGCAUACCAGGCGAGCGUGUUACCGCUUGAGCCACAUCCCCAGCCCAAGUUUCUUUUUUUAUAUUGAGACAGGGCCUUGCUAAGUUGCUGAACUUGCAAUCCUCCUGCCUCAGCCUUCCACAUCACUGGGCUUACAGGCCUCCCGUGCCCAGCCUCCCUUCCCUUUUGGGGGCCUGGAGUCUUGCAUCCCUGUGCAGAGGAGGCAGGGAGGGGCUGGACCCUGGGGCACUUCCUACAUUGGACUCUGUCUUUGGGAUGCCUCCUGUUGAGGCAGCUGUGCCUGUCUGCUGGGAUCUGUGCUAAAAUGGGGGUGUGCUGCGGUUUCUCCAGCACACAGAGCCCAGCCACUUGGCUACAUCCUUACCUUUCCCUUGUUGCCCGAGCGGGGCCUCCUAGGGCACCCGAUGAUGGACAUCUGCAGGUGAUGGUCUGAGCCCCUGUGGCUACUCCUGUGGGCAGCCUGAGCACUCAGGACCCUGGACACAGGUCACAAGUGCCCUCACAUGGGACCAAAACUCUCAGAAAUGUUCUGUCAGUGGGAUCAGCACAGCACCUGCCCAUGGGGGAGGCCUGCCCAGCCUCCACAGCUACAGCUGGCCUGGGGCUCUCCCGGUCACUGGAGCGAGAAACUGGGGGAGUGCAGGGAGCCUCCAUGGAUCAAGAAGAAAAUGACUUAAACCCAGUUCCAGAACUAGAUAGCUGAUGGAAACCUCCAUUCCUCAUCCCAGGACUGAAGCUGGCCCCCGCCUGGGCACUUGGCGAGGAAGCUGGAUGACCCUCUGCAGCACAGCCAGGCUCAGAUGCCCUUUGUGGAAGUGUUCCAUACAAAAUGUGUUCGCUGCUUUUCUCUUAGUUGAAAAUCCAGAGGACAGCUUACUCACUGCUGUUGCAGAAUUUGUCUGCAUGCUAGCCCAGUCCCCAUCUGCAAGAGUGGCCUGAAAUUGCCUUCUGAAAAGUUCCAUGGGGGCCCUCCUGAGAAGGGUGGGGAGGGAGUCUGAGACAAGGCAGAUGGCCAUGGAUAUGUCCUUCUGGUGGGGUCUGGAGUGGCCUGCUCUGCUGCCACCUUGCAUGAAGGUAAGGAAGGGAGUCUGCGACAGGUAGGAGCAACUGGAAUAAGGGGUGAUUUUUCACAGCUGCCUCCAG